AAGCAAGUGUUUCACUCAAUCACUCAAGUGUUUAAGGUUACACUCCAUUCUCUAUUGUUCACAAGUCAUAUGAAACAAAAUUGUCAUUCAUCUCAAACAAUCAACAUCUUUUCAUGCAAAUGUCAACAAAAGGACUUUUCCAAGCUUGUAAUGAGGUUGGGCUAACAAGAAAAAUUGGUUUUUCUAGAAUGCAAAAUCCUUGAGUCAAGAGAGCUAACAAGACAUUCAAUAUUUACGCACAACUCUCUCUCACCAAAAUUUCUCAUUCCCAACUUCUUCCCUUUUCUUUUUCUUUUUCAUUGAGCUCAUCUUCAUGCUUUUCUUCUUUACUUUUCUUUUUCUCAUGAAUUUUUCUCUUUUCACAACAAUUCAGCUCAAUGCCUUUUACUUGCAUUUUCAAUUUUCCCCCGUACAACCCCAAACUUGAACCUUUUCAUCUCAUACAAUUAAGCUCAUCCCAAUUCAAGGUAAAGAGUUUCAAAACAAGGGUUCACAUCCUGUUUAAGGCUAAGGUUCAAAAAGGGUAUAAUAUUUCAAACACUUUGGGUGAAAAUUUGGCUAGAGAAGGGUUUUCAACAAUGGCCUUGAUCAUAUGACAUUUACAUGCAAUUCAAUCAAUCAUCAAGGUUAAGGCAAUAUCAUCCAUGUUUUCCUGUGAACAAUACAUGCAACAAUAAAAACUCUGGAGCUCAAAAUCUUACACACAUGCUUCCUCACACAAAAUUCAUUCAUACACCAUGCCUAGCAUCAUGACCACAAUCAUAAAUUCAUCACCCAUCUAUUUCCCGAAUAUCAUCANGCAUUAUAACUCAAUUUUCUUUCACAUCAAAUCAUCAUCAAAUAGAUCCAUCAUGCACAUCAGCUAGUCAAACAUUUUCAGAACAAGUAAUAAAGCCAAGAAUACACACCAAAAUUAAAAUUCAACCUAUUCUAUGAACUUAAAAUGCAAAAGUGUAAGAAGAAAUCUAGGUUGCCUUCUAGUAGCGCUUGUUUAACGUCACGAGCCUGACCCAAACCUGGUUGGCACUCGUCAGUAAGUGCACCUCCUUCCACCACCCAUCAGUAGGUGUACCUUCCGGAUAUCCUUCAGUGGAUACCAAAAAUUUAGCAUCCCUCAGUAGAUGCUACCCAAAAAUUGUUCCAAAAAUCAAAUAAUUACAAGUUUUGUUUUUUUUUUGUUUUUUUUUUUUAAAAAAAAAUAAACCUAGACUAAAAAUGAAAAAUAAAAAAAAUGUUUUACAACAAUUGGGAUGACCCCAACAAACACCAAUCAGUAGGUGUUGAAAUUCUUCUCGCUUGAUAUUCUUUUCUUUUUCUUCUUCCUACUGAAUUCCUUCAUAAAGUUGACAACACCAAGCACAUGUUUCCAUGUAUCAAUCAUAGGAACUUUAAUCUCCAAUUUCUUGAAGAUCUCCAUAAAGUACUUGAACUUCUUUUCCUUCCUAUGAUUCUUCUUUUGACGAUGAAGAGGCUUUUCAUAUGAUCUUUUCUUCUUUCCUCUCCUCCUCUUUUUCUUAAUUUUCUCCUUCCUUAACNN
rnacentral:lncRNA from 1 species